rnacentral:lncRNA from 1 species
ACAGUGAAGGGUUGGCCAAUCCAGAUAAACUGUACUAAGGGUCUGCAAAAGCAUGGGAAGGACAUCUGUACAAGAUUAUGAGUUUAUGGCUGCACUGAAAGAGGGCUAAUUACCCUAGUUACUAAGCAGGCUCUCAGGGACACACAGACACAAAUCAAACUGACAGCAAGCUGCAUCUGCAGCUGUGUACAAAUGGGUUUAACUCCCAGAGAGCUUAAAAGAGCUCUGUUCUGUUCCCCCUGAAAUCAACAUAAACUUGACUAUUAUCUUUUAGAGUAGCUGAUAUAAGAAAGCAAUAAUAAAACAGUGGAAACAUUAACUACAGAUUGAAAUUCAACAGCAGCAGAUGAGAAAGAGCAUGACUUGUUUAGAAAAGCAACCAACCUGGAUUAAAGAUUUUCUAGUGAGAAGGCAAUCAUAAUCCUUAAGAUAUUCACAUGAUUAAUUACAGGGACAAGAAGGCAAGUUAUGUUACAAUGAAGAUUAGCCAGACUAGAAGAACUAUGUAUUUCUGUUUCAACAAGAGGACAUAACAUUUCUGAGUUGACUCAGUGAUGUGAUAUGCUGGAGAGAACAACAAAUGAAAACAACCUAGGUAUUCAGAAAGGUAACUGAACAUAUACCUUUAAUGUAUUAGAACACAGAAAAUAGUAAGGUUCCUGGGA